rnacentral:rRNA from 1 species
GAUGAACGCUGGCGGCGUGCUUAACACAUGCAAGUCGAACGGGAAAUACUUUAUUGAAACUUCGGUGGAUUUAAUUUAUUUCUAGUGGCGGACGGGUGAGUAACGCGUGGGUAACCUGCCUUAUACUGGGGGAUAACAGCCAGAAAUGACUGCUAAUACCGCAUAAGCGCACAGAACCGCAUGGUUCGGUGUGAAAAACUCCGGUGGUAUAAGAUGGACCCGCGUUGGAUUAGCUAGUUGGCAGGGCAGCGGCCUACCAAGGCGACGAUCCAUAGCCGGCCUGAGAGGGUGAACGGCCACAUUGGGACUGAGACACGGCCCAGACUCCGACGGGAGGCAGCAGUGGGGAAUAUUGCACAAUGGGGGAAACCCUGAUGCAGCGACGCCGCGUGAAGGAAGAAGUAUCUCGGUAUGUAAACUUCUAUCAGCAGGGAAGAUAAUGACGGUACCUGACUAAGAAGCCCCGGCUAACUACGUGCCAGCCGCCGCCGUAA